rnacentral:rRNA from 1 species
CAGUAGCCGCGGUAAGACAGAGGAUGCAAGCGUUACCCGGAAUGAUUGGGCGUAAAGCGUCUGUAGGUGGCUUUUCAAGUCCGCCGUCAAAUCCCAGGGCUCAACCCUGGACAGGCGGUGGAAACUACCAAGCUGAGUACGGUAGGGGCAGAGGGAGUUUCCGGUGGAGCGGUGAAAUGCGUUGAGAUCGGAAAGAACACCAACGGCGAAAGCACUCUGCUGGGCCGACACUGACACUGAGAGACGAAAGCUAGGGGAGCAAAUGGGAUUAGAGACCCCCGUAGUCCCUGUCUCUUAUACA